rnacentral:rRNA from 1 species
GACGGAGGGUGCUAGCGUUGUCCGGAUUUAUUGGGCGUAAAGAGCGUGUAGGCGGUUCGGUAAGUCUGUCGUGAAAUCCUGAGGCUCAACCUCGGGCGUGCGAUGGAUACUGCCGGGCUAGAGGGUGGUAGAGGCGAGUGGAAUUCCCGGUGUAGCGGUGAAAUGCGCAGAUAUCGGGAGGAACACCAGUAGCGAAGGCGGCUCGCUGGGCCACACCUGACGCUGAGACGCGAAAGCUAGGGGAGCGAACAGG